rnacentral:rRNA from 1 species
UACAGAGGUGGCAAGCGUUGUUCGGAAUUACUGGGCGUAAAGGGCGCGUAGGCGGCCACCGCAAGUCGGUUGUGAAAUCUCCGGGCUUAACCCGGAAAGGUCAAUCGAUACUGCGGGGCUAGAGUGCAGAAGGGGCAACUGGAAUUCUCGGUGUAGCGGUGAAAUGCGUAGAUAUCGAGAGGAACACCUGCGGCGAAGGCGGGUUGCUGGGCUGACACUGACGCUGAAGCGCGAAAGCUAGGGGAGCGAACGGG